AGAUUAGGUGAAACAGGUGGAUUAUAC
rnacentral:sRNA from 1 species